UCCCGGCUAGCUCAGUCGGCAGAGCGUCAGACUCUUACGUAAAACAAGAGCCUCCGAGUCAUUAUGCUCGGAAAUAUAUCUGAAUGUCGAGGGUUCGAGCCCCUCGUUGGGAG